rnacentral:miRNA from 1 species
AAGUAAUAUUCCAUCUCAUAUAUAUAUAUAUAUAUGAGAUGGAAUAUUACUU